rnacentral:piRNA from 1 species
UAGGUGAGAGAGUACUGAAGGCAGA